GGACGGAUGGCCGAGUGGCUGAAGGCGCACGCUUGGAAAGCGUGUGUAGGGAUAAAACUCUACCGAGGGUUCGAAUCCCUCUCCGUCCGCCA
rnacentral:tRNA from 1 species